CCUACGGGAGGCAGCAGUCGAGAAUCAUUCACAUUGGGGGAAACCCUGAUGGUGCGACGCCGCGUGGGGGAAUGAAGGUCUUCGGAUUGUAAACCCCUGUCAUGUGGGAGCAAAUUAAAAAGAUAGUACCACAAGAGGAAGAGACGGCUAACUCUGUGCCAGCAGCCGCGGUAAUACAGAGGUCUCAAGCGUUGUUCGGAAUCACUGGGCGUAAAGCGUGCGUAGGCUGUUUCGUAAGUCGUGUGUGAAAGGCGCGGGCUCAACCCGCGGACGGCACAUGAUACUGCGAGACUAGAGUAAGGGAGGGGGAACCGGAAUGCUCGGUGUAGCAGUGAAAUGCGUAGAUAUCGAGAGGAACACUCGUGGCGAAGGCGGGUUCCUGGACAUUAACUGACGCUGAGGCACGAAGGCCAGGGGAGCGAAAGGGAUUAGAUACCCCGGUAGUC
rnacentral:rRNA from 1 species